GGGUUGUGAGGUUAAGCGACUAAGCGUACACGGUGGAUGCCCUGGCAGUCAGAGGCGAUGAAGGACGUGCUAAUCUGCGAUAAGCGUCGGUAAGGUGAUAUGAACCGUUAUAACCGGCGAUUUCCGAAUGGGGAAACCCAGUGUGUUUCGACACACUAUCAUUAACUGAAUCCAUAGGUUAAUGAGGCGAACCGGGGGAACUGAAACAUCUAAGUACCCCGAGGAAAAGAAAUCAACCGAGAUUCCCCCAGUAGCGGCGAGCGAACGGGGAGGAGCCCAGAGCCUGAAUCAGUGUGUGUGUUAGUGGAAGCGUCUGGAAAGGCGCGCGAUACAGGGUGACAGCCCCGUACACAAAAAUGCACAUGCUGUGAGCUCGAUGAGUAGGGCGGGACACGUGGUAUCCUGUCUGAAUAUGGGGGGACCAUCCUCCAAGGCUAAAUACUCCUGACUGACCGAUAGUGAACCAGUACCGUGAGGGAAAGGCGAAAAGAACCCCGGCGAGGGGAGUGAAAAAGAACCUGAAACCGUGUACGUACAAGCAGUGGGAGCAUGCUUAGGCGUGUGACUGCGUACCUUUUGUAUAAUGGGUCAGCGACUUAUAUUCUGUAGCAAGGUUAACCGAAUAGGGGAGCCGAAGGGAAACCGAGUCUUAACUGGGCGUUAAGUUGCAGGGUAUAGACCCGAAACCCGGUGAUCUAGCCAUGGGCAGGUUGAAGGUUGGGUAACACUAACUGGAGGACCGAACCGACUAAUGUUGAAAAAUUAGCGGAUGACUUGUGGCUGGGGGUGAAAGGCCAAUCAAACCGGGAGAUAGCUGGUUCUCCCCGAAAGCUAUUUAGGUAGCGCCUCGUGAACUCAUCUCCGGGGGUAGAGCACUGUUUCGGCAAGGGGGUCAUCCCGACUUACCAACCCGAUGCAAACUGCGAAUACCGGAGAAUGUUAUCACGGGAGACACACGGCGGGUGCUAACGUCCGUCGUGAA
rnacentral:rRNA from 1 species